rnacentral:tRNA from 1 species
GCGGUUGUAGCUCAAUCGGCGAGAGCGUCGGCUUGCCAUGUCGAAGUUUGGGAGUGCAAGCGCGGCCUUCGGCCUACGAAUCUCCCCAAUCGCA